rnacentral:rRNA from 1 species
GUGAACGCUGGCGGUAGGCCUAACCCCUGCAAGUCGGACGGCAGCACCGUAAGCGCUUGCUCUUACGGGUGGCGAGUGGCGGACGGGUGAGGAAUACAUCGGAAUCUACUUUUUCGUGGGGGAUCACGUAGGGAAACUUACGCUAAUACCGCAUACGACCUACGGGUGAAAGCAGGGGAGCUUCGGACCUUGCGCGAUUGAAUGAGCCGAUGUCGGAUUAGCUAGUUGGCGGGGUAAAGGCCCACCAAGGCGACGAUCCGUAGCUGGUCUGAGAGGAUGAUCAGCCACACUGGAACUGAGACACGGUCCAGACUCCUACGGGAGGCAGCAGUGGGGAAUAUUGGACAAUGGGCGCAAGCCUGAUCCAGCCAUACCGCGUGGGUGAAGAAGGCCUUCGGGUUGUAAAGCCCUUUUGUUGGGAAAGAAAAGCAGCAGGUUAAUACCCCGCUGUUCUGACGGUACCCAAAGAAUAAGCACCGGCUAACUUCGUG